GAUUUUUCCCUCACAAUGAUGAACAAUUAUCUCCCAUUACUCACCUAGCAGUAUCUAACUGUCCCUAACACAGCGUGUGGGAAUGCCCUCAAUACGGUGGAUGCUGUUAACUUUCUUCCUUCCCCUCAGGCAAUGGCGGUGACUUACAAUGAACCAUAAUGUCCACAUUUCCCAACUGUAUUUUGGAGCCUCUUCUGUCCCCUUCUUUCUAGGACCCCAGUUAAAAAAAAAAAAAAACUAGCCCAAUGUCUGUUGAUGCCCAUUAAUCACUAACACAGUGUCUGACCCCUCCAUUAAAUUUUGAUGGUAUCUCUUGGCUCCCCGUUGUCCCGUUAACCCAAUGUCUGCUGAUUCCCAAUUUCCCAAUCAGCAUUCCUCUCAGAGUAGUAUAUUUGUUACAGUUGGCGAACCUCCACUGACGUCCUUGCAGCAUUGGAUCCAGGAACUCUGCAGCUGUGCAUUGAGUUUAGGCUCUGGUCUAUUUCCUUCAGGAGGUCAAGCAGAAGUUCCAGGGAUUCUAGGUGUUGAGGAGGCUGACCAGGCUGAGAAAACUUCAGGAGCAAAGGAUACAACAUGGGAUCCUUCCCUCAGACUGAUCUGAGGGUGUGCAUGUGACUCUCCUGCAGGGUUUCCACUGUUACCUGGAGGCUGGGCUAACAUAUGUGCCUGUGGCUUGCUGUGUCCCUC
rnacentral:lncRNA from 1 species